rnacentral:ncRNA from 1 species
AAAGCAGUGCUGAACGUACAGAAGUCAGCAGAGGUCAUAGUAGCCGAGAGGUGAAGGA